GCAUCGAAUGAGGGCUCGGCGCGAAGAGCUUAACGGAGGCAGGACCGUGAGGCUUUUCUCAGCUGCACUUUCUCAACAGCUUGGUAGCUAUCUGGCUUGGAUCCAAACCACACAAGGUUGGCCCAGUUGCUGCCAUCUGAUGAGGUGCUGCCGCUUACACAAGCAGGAAAAACUGAGAUCAGGUUCACUGUGAAGAUUCCCUUUGAAAUUGACUAUAAAGCUCCAAAUUCAA